UGGGGAAUAUUGGACAAUGGGCGAAAGCCUGAUCCAGCCAUGCCGCGUGAGUGAUGAAGGCCUUAGGGUUGUAAAGCUCUUUUAGCAGGGAAGAUAAUGACGGUACCUGCAGAAAAAGCCCCGGCUAACUUCGUGCCAGCAGCCGCGGUAAUACGAAGGGGGCUAGCGUUGCUCGGAAUCACUGGGCGUAAAGCGCACGUAGGCGGACUCUUAAGUCGGUGGUGAAAUCCUGGAGCUCAACUCCAGAACUGCCUUCGAUACUGGGAGUCUUGAGUUCGGGAGAGGUGAGUGGAACCGCGAGUGUAGAGGUGAAAUUCGUAGAUAUUCGCAAGAACACCAGUGGCGAAGGCGGCUCACUGGCCUGAUACUGACGCUGAGGUGCGAAAGCGUGGGGAGCAAACA
rnacentral:rRNA from 1 species